AAAAUAAAGGAUGAGAACGUAAGAUUGAAAUAGGAGAUGGGAGUGUGCUUGAGAAGUUUUCUGAACUUGUAAGAAAGUGAGAGCAAGCAAGAGAGGAGGCUUAGAAUUUAGAUCACCAAGAGUUAGAGUUCUCUUUGCUGGAAAAGGAGGUAGGGCAACUAAUCCAUGAAUACUUGGUAAUGCUUUACUUGAAAUAGCUGAUGUAUGUUGAUUCCGUUGAUUUGCUUGUGUUCUGUUUUUGCCUCAUAAACUUGUUGAAACUCACUUAUAAUCAUGAUCUAGAAGAUGAUGAC
rnacentral:lncRNA from 1 species